UGGGGAAUAUUGCGCAAUGGGGGAAACCCUGACGCAGCGACGCCGCGUGCGGGAUGAAGGCCUUCGGGUUGUAAACCGCUUUCAGCAGGGACGAAGCGGAAGUGACGGUACCUGCAGAAGAAGCGCCGGCUAACUACGUGCCAGCAGCCGCGGUAACACGUAGGGCGCGAGCGUUGUCCGGAAUUAUUGGGCGUAAAGAGCUCGUAGGCGGCCUGUUGCGUCCGCUGUGAAAGCCCGGGGCUUAACCCCGGGUCUGCAGUGGAUACGGGCAGGCUAGAGGUAGGCAGGGGAGAAUGGAAUUCCCGGUGUAGCGGUGAAAUGCGCAGAUAUCGGGAGGAACACCGGUGGCGAAGGCGGUUCUCUGGGCCUUACCUGACGCUGAGGAGCGAAAGCGUGGGGAGCGAACA
rnacentral:rRNA from 1 species